GAGUGUGAAAAGCAAACUAAUCGAAAGGUUAGGACGCAAAGCCGACGGGUCUAAAAUCAAAUGGAUUAGGACGGCUGGGCUGCCUCU
rnacentral:ncRNA from 1 species